CCUACGGGUGGCAGCAGUGGGGAAUAUUGGACAAUGGGCGAAAGCCUGAUCCAGCCAUGCCGCGUGUGUGAAGAAGGCCUUCGGGUUGUAAAGCACUUUCAGUGGGGAAGAAAGCCUUGGGGCUAAUACCCUCGAGGAAGGACAUCACCCACAGAAGAAGCACCGGCUAACUCCGUGCCAGCAGCCGCGGUAAUACGGAGGGUGCGAGCGUUAAUCGGAAUUACUGGGCGUAAAGCGCGCGUAGGCGGUCUGAUAAGCCGGUUGUGAAAGCCCCGGGCUCAACCUGGGAACGGCAUCCGGAACUGUCAGGCUAGAGUGCAGGAGAGGAAGGUAGAAUUCCCGGUGUAGCGGUGAAAUGCGUAGAGAUCGGGAGGAAUACCAGUGGCGAAGGCGGCCUUCUGGACUGACAUUGACGCUGAGGUGCGAAAGCGUGGGUAGCAAACAGGAUUAGAUACCCGUGUAGUC
rnacentral:rRNA from 1 species